rnacentral:tRNA from 1 species
CAUUAAGAAGCUAACUAGCGCUAACCUUUUAAGUUAGAGACUGAGAGUAUGAAUUUCUCCUUAAUGA